UGACCUUGUCGUUGAGGUCCGCGACGCUCGAAUUCCCCUGUCGUCUGCCAACCAGGACCUUCAAUCUCACCUCUCCGCCAAACGACGCAUUAUUGCUCUCAAUAAGCAGGACCUUGCCAAUCCCAAUAUCAUGCCGUAAGACUUCUGUUAGGAAGCUUCUUGAGCUGGUGGAGUUUAAAUUGAAGGAAGCGAUAUUGAAAGAGCCAACUCUGCUUGUUAUGGUUGUUGGGGUUCCUAAUGUUGGAAAAUCUGCUUUGAUCAAGGAGAAAACCGC